rnacentral:lncRNA from 1 species
CUUGCAUGCUGUGGCCCGGGUGGGUGCCAGCGCUGCCGCGCCGCCCGCGCCUGGCAUCCCGAGCGGCCUCCUGCGUCCCGGCCCGGCUCGCAGGUGUUCAUGAGAAAAAUGCACAAAAUCCCGACUGACCGGAAUAAUUCAUGAAGAAGGGGCUGAAUCCGUGGGUCAGAGAACACAGGACCAGUUUGCCAUCCCAAGGCGGAAGUCUGGUGACUCGGAUUUGGCCCUGCGUUUCCCACUCCUGCUGCAUCUUACCCAGUCGAGGAACGAAAGGUCUUGACACCUUCCUGAAGCAUGGGAAGAAAGGAGGUUCUGAAAGCACAGAUCCAAGACCACCAGAGGCCGGGGACAGCGAUUCCUGGAGGGGCCGCUCACACAACACCAGGAGCUGAGGAGAACUGGAGCAGGAGGAACAUGGGCCCAACAAGGGUGGAAAUACCAGCAAUUCCAAAAGUCAUCUACAUCAGUGCCCAGGACGCCCAUGCAGAACCCACUGAAUGGAAGAAAACGUGGUGGCUGCUUCCUCAAUUUGCAACUGCAGAAGCUGGAAUAAGGGCCUGAGAAGGCAGAGAAGCCACAUGAGUCCAGUCCCAAAGCUGUCAGAGUAACCCUGAGGGAACUGUCUACUGAAUUAUGACCAGUUGUGCCAACAGACAUUGAGAAGAGACCUCCUUUCCAUUGGCUCCUAUCACACCUGGCUGCCACUGCUCCUGGGAUCUGGACCAUCUUGUAUCCACCUUUGAGCGUCACUUCCUGUUUCAGCUGUGGGAGUUCUGGUCCACUUUCCCUGUGAAGAAACCUUCACUUUUUCCUCCUUUGGAGUUCUGGAUUAGACUCUUGUACCUGGAACUGGGUCAAGUUAGGCUAAACGCACCUCUAGGCAUUCCUGUUUCUCAGAAGUUGUCAAGUUCACAUCAUACCUGUUUCAUUGGUGACCAGGGGUCCACUUCUAGCAGAUGCUACCUGGCCUGGUCAGUAUUUUUCAUGGUCAUCUCUUUAGUGCCUUUAUCUCAUCCCCUGCCCAACUCAGGUGAGACUUGCCCAGUGGUGACUUCUCUCCUGGUACUUUAGAUAGGGAGAGAAAAUGUGGCUUGGUGGAUCUGCCAUCUUCUUCAGUUUGGAGGCAAUUGGAGCAUGGCUCCAUCUAGGGAGGAAAAUGACUCCGAAAGAGACUGUCCUUAUCUCAGCUUCUGCCCUGUUCUACUCUCACAAUCCUUAUUCUUGCCCUUUGUGCCUGUCCUAAUGCAGGAGAAUUGUGGUUUUCUUUUUUCUAUUAAAUAUAACUGUAGCUAUUUUCAUUAUUGCAAAACAGCACAAGCUUAUUACGAAAACAUGAGAAAUAUAGACAAUAGAAGACAAAAAAUAUUCCCAAAUUUUAUCCCAAAGACAAGACAACUAUUGAUUCAUAUAGUUAUACAAUAUCAUACACAUAUACUACAUAUAUUUAUAUAUUUAAUGUGACUAUAAUAUCACAAUACCAUUUAUAUUCUUUGAUAACACAUCUUGUCAUUUAAUGUCUUAUGAAUAUAUUUCUAUAGCAACAAGCUCAGCUAUACUGAAAUUUUAAGAGUACUCAAUUGUAUAUAUGCCCUCAUUUAUCUCAUCUCACAUAGUUUAAUGUUUAGGCUGUUACCUCCUUUUCUAUAUUGUCAUUAAUGAUCAUGGAUUUAGUUUAAUCUUCCUAUAAUUAUUUCCGUAAGGUAAAUCCUUAGAAAGGGAUCGAAGGAUGAGUAGUAAAGGUUGCAAAGCUCUCCGAAUCUGGAGCCAGCAAUAACUGCUCAGACUCCCUUAAAAAUAAGAGCUCUAGGAAGGCCACACAUGCCCUUUCCCAGAUUCCUUCCCAUAGCUACACUUGGGCAGCCCUGACUUCUUUCACCUUGCCCUGAACGGAGAAUAGCCCUGAGAGAUGGCUGAGGAACAGGUAGUGAAUGAGCGAGUGGUGGUGUCAGUUUGGGUUUGGUUUUUGGAUAAACUUCACAGUUCCUCAUUGGAUGCUGAGAAAUGAUUAUUCAUUCAUGACCCAUUUAUGGAAGAGCCAUUGCUUCCAGAUGCCAGGCUAGAGGCUGAGAAGACAGAGAUGGAUUAAACAGGAAUUCUUCUCUCAGGAAUAGCACAGCCUAGGGAAGGAAGGCCCGUGAUAGACAGCACACAUUUACUCCAUGAUAAAGAGGAAACGUAUAAGAUCAGUAAUAUAUCUCAGGGAAGAAAACUGGAACCAUCUAAAAUCCCACAGGGAAAAUAUGAGGUUCCUGCAGUCUACUAGCCCAUUCAUCUCAGCUAACACCUUUGUGUGGAUCCUUUGGUGGUGAGACUUGCUCGCUUGUGGUCAUCCUUGCUAAACACAACCUGCCCAAAGGCAUUGACCGUGUCCUUCCUUUGCACCUCUAGCAAACUGGUACCAUCUUAUACCAUGGCUUCUGAAAUCUGUUCAGUGUAAAAUCCAAAUUAGAGUAAACAAAAUUAAAGGUAAAGAGAUUCAUGAGUUGAAACAAAGACUCAAUGUUUUAUGUAUGUAAGAAAAUUUGCAUUAAUUCAUAUCCUUCUGCCUGAUAGAAACUUUCUCAGAUAUUUCAUUAUAGAAGAAACAAUCACAUUCCAGAAAAUGUGGGAAGUAGAGAAAAGGAGAAUUAUCAGCCCAUCUCACCAUCCUAACCCAGGGCAAAUAGCAUUCUAGUGACCUUUGCCCUGAAAAAUUUGUAUUAAGAUGGUGUUGAGGACAAGAGCUAAGGAACAUGUGAGUUUUUCAUCUCCAAUUUUAUUGUGAAUAAAUAUAUCUGAUAGUGAAUUAUAUUCAUGUAGUUCAAAAUUCAAAAACACAAAAACAGAGACUGAAAAGUCCAUGAACCCCAGCCUCUAUUACUUGGAGACAUCCAGGAGUCUCAGUGUCUUGUGUAUCCUUCUAGAGUUUUUGUGCAUAUUAAACCAUGCGUGUUUAUAAAAUAUGAGUUUUGACUAGAGGGCUUUGGCAAAACUGUUACCAAAUGUCCUAAAUUUAGCUAAACUAUCUUCAGUAAUUUUAAUGGCAGGCCUGAGGUACAGAUGGAGAAGAGAAAAGGAUGGAGAGAGCGAGAGAGAGAGAGAGAGAGAGAGAGAGUGCUCCUGAGGGAGAGCGUGAAAGAAAGAGCAAUCUUUCAUUUAUCCAACUAGUAUUUAUUGAGCAGAUAUUACAUCUCAGAUAUUAUUCUAUGCCCAGGUGAUACAAGAGUGAAAAAAAUUCCCUGACUUCAUGGGGAUUAAGAAUGGAAGGUGGCAAACAAUAACCAUAAUCAAAAAGUAAAUUAUAAAGUCCAUCAGAAUGUGAUAAGCGUUAUGGAAAAACACAAGUGGGGUCCAGGAGAUGAGGCACAUCAGGAGACAGUUUUAACAUGAGUGGUCAGGGAGGGCUUCACUGAGGAGGCCUUAAAGGAGGCGAGAAGAUGGGCCCUGCAGAUACUCAGGGAAAGGGCACUGCAGAGGGAAGAAGCAAUGCACAGGCCUCGCAGCAGAAGUCAAGGCCUGGAGGUUUCCAGCAGCCAACCUCCUCCAGCUCCGGGCUGUUCCUGGUAACCUGUGCCCGCAGCUGGCUUCCCUUGGAGUUCAGGUCAGGCCGGUGUGUUUGGGCCAUAGUGCUAAGCUUACUGUAUACUAGACGUCAGUUUGUCUUCUCUCUAAAUUUUGAUUCUGAUGCUUAAUUUGACUCCUUCCAAGGUGAUUCUGUGGUUAGUCUGAAUAAGGAAAGGAGAGGGGCAGUGUUAUUGUAGUAGGUAGACAAGGUUGACAUUUGGGGGUCCUGGCUUUUAAACCAAUUCUGUUUUCAAGUCUUUUGUCAGACACAUUAUUCAACCUUUCCGGUCCUCAGGUUUGUCUCUUAGGAAACAAAAAGAAUGUGCUUAGUUGGCUUUAGGGCUGUCCCUACCAUUGGUUUUCAAGCUCUGUGACCAUGUGAGCAGUCCAGGUAGGAAGUGGCAUCAGAUGACAUCUAGCAACACCAGGGGACACAGAGGAGCUUCUGCCUGCAGAGGACUGUGUGCAUGAUAUGUGCCGCCACCUCGUUUCCCUUCUAGACUAGAAGAGCCCAGACCAGAAGAGCCCAGACCAUCCUUCAAAUAGAAUAUUUCACCUGAAUAAGCCCAGAAUUCCCUAAGUGAACAGAGGAGACAUGGGGACACGGUUAAUUGCUUUGUUCUUGUGCCGUUGGCAGUAUGGUUCCCUUUAAGCCCAGAAGGGCUCCUUUCCCCUGCCCCUUGGCGGAGCUCAUUCUCCAUAGGCAGUAGGGGUGGCAUGCUGGGGCCAGGGCUCCUUGUUUUGUUCCUUUGGGCCACAGAGGUCCCCUCCCUGUUUAGUGUCUUCCAGUUGGACACAGGGAGUCUUCGUCUACCUGGGGAAUAAGACACUGAGGAGGAGGGAAGCGUGUCAUGGACACCACUCUCCUUCCAGCAAAGUCACUGUGAAUUUAAAACUCAGACUGUGUGUAAGAGGUUGUGGGGGCAGAAAGGGGCCUUUGGAAAUUUCAUUUGGAGGCAGAGGUGCUAAACAUGAAUAGAAGCCUUUGCUUUGACUCUCAGAGGGUGAGUCACCUUGGUUAUAGUUACUCUUGGUUAUUCCUUGCUUUUUCUUUUGUUAUCUCCGCCCGCACCCCCGCCAUACCCACCCAUCUUUAGCAUUCUUAGCUGCUUUUCUACAGGUCAGCUGAAAAGUGACUUGCAGAAUAGGGCUUCUCUUCCCCUAUUGGAGUUCAUGGGCAUUAUGUUUCCUAGCACUGGGAGGAAAUAUACACGACCAUGCACUUUCCACUCAUAAAGGACCCUGAGGUAUUUAAUUGUGAAAAUCAACUUCUGAUUUAUGUUACUUUCCCAGUGCCUUUUCUUUACACACAUAUGAAAAUUGCUCUAUUACUUCUUACAUUUCAUGCAGUGCCCUUUGUCUCCAUCAACUGUUGUGGAGAGAAAUUUUAUUUGGAAUAUUCAUAACAAGUCUAUCGCUAAUUAUCACUUUAACAAUGUGUUAUGGAGUGUAUCCAUGCAGUCAUCUGGAAAAGCACAUAUGCCAUGAAAUUUGGGGACUUGCUGUGUGCUGUAGGUGCCCAGUCUCAGUGUUUCAUCAGAUCUUUGCUUGGGGAGGAGGUAGAGGUGCUUUGUGAGGGAGUAUGGAGGCCUGCAUCCUGCAUUCCUGUCCUCAUAGCAACAGUUUCCAGGGUGACUUGUUUUUGAGUGUAAAAAAAACCUUAAUGUGAAACAAAAACCCUUCCCUACUCUGCAGCCCUAUUACGGUCAGCCCAGGUCAGUGCCAGGUAGACUGAUCUUAGCCACAGAGCUAAUCGCAGAUGAAGACCCUGCUGUUCUUGGUGCCAUCCUGGCACUCUGGCAAGAAGAGUGGAGCUAAAAUUGCCACCUGGUUGGCAGGCCUCAGAAGCAAAUGGAGAGUGACCUCAGCAUGUCAGAAUGAGAAAGGAAAGAAUGCCUCGGUGUUUCUUUCUUCCUGCUCUCUUUUCUCUGGGAAAGGAGAAUGGACUCACACUGGGUUUCUUCUCCAGGAUUCUCAGUGAGUCUGGGAUUUGGGAGGCUAGAAUCAUAUUUUUACCAGGACACAUGGAGCGCUUCCCUCUGAAGCUUCCUGAUGGACAUGGAUGAAGCCCCAGAGGCUGCCUCCAAAUGAGGGCAGAGUAAUGGAGCCUAAUGGAGCACAGCUCCUAGUCUGAGCACAGUCCUACCGCAGGGAUAAAUCAAGCAGCCUUUAGGUGGGGCCAGGAAGGGGACAGAGGGAAAUGAAUGACUGUGUUGAGCUCAGCAUGACUUUGUGGAUCCUCUGAAGCUUUUAACUAAGUGGAGGAUUCAGACUCAGGAAUUUACUGAGGAAUAUGACUUGGAAGGAUGGAAAGUUGCAUCUGUUAUAACAAGCUUUUAAGGAUGAGUUUUCAGAGCACUUGGAGCCUGGUUUUGUUGGAUGUUACUUUAGAAAUAAUAACUACUUAUUAUUUGUUAAGUGCUUACUCAGUACUAGGCACAUUGUUCAUCAUAAUCAAUAAUACCUAACAUUGAUGGAGUAUUUGUGAUGUACCAAACUCUCAAGCACUUUAGAUUCUGACUUAACUAGGUCCUAGAAGGAAGCCCCCAUUGGAGUCAUCACUAAUAUGUAGAGAAAUUGAGGCUCAGGGUAUUAGAUAACUUACCAGAAACACUAAGGAAACCAGUAGCUUUAGGUCAGUCACUUACCUGUUUCAGGACACAGAGCACAGAGGCUUUCCCCCUUUACCCUUUAUGAAACAGCAGGAGAGGACGGGGGCUGUAUCUCAGUGGUAGAGCUCUUGCCUAGCGUGUGCAAGGCUCUGGGUUUGAUCCCUUGUACCACAAAAACAAAACAACCAUAACAACAGCAAAACCAGCAGGAGAAAGUGCUGAGAAACAGCAAGAAAGUGGGGCACUGAAAGGGGACAGGAGUCUGUGUAGCCCUGGGUCAGUGCUGGUACAAAGCUGGCCUUAUGACCUGGGUGCUUUGCAUCUGUUAUAAUGCACUGUGAAAACCCAGUGUUAGCUGUUGUCCUAAAGAACUGAUUCAAUAAACCCUACAUUUCUGGACAUUUGGUUUCCUUGUUUCUAUUUGGGUGGCACUAGGAUUUGGGAGGAGCUAGUUGGGAAUGUAUUUAAGGAGGAAAACUUUGGAUGUGGUUUUAGAAACAAGGCACCACAACCAGACUGUGAUGCAGGCUUCAUCUGUGGACAGGUGUAUGUGGACAGGUGCAUUGUGCAGGCACCAGCGCGGGCAGAGGAAGUGGUAGGUUUGAAGGUAGCAAAAUAGGGCGGCUUUGUUGUUGUCUGGCAUGGGCCCUGCCAGGCCACAUCCAUUAACUAUGCCAACACCACUGCUAAUAGGUGGGUGAUUCAGCUCCUUCCUGCAUUUUAUUGCCCAACAGAGACUUUAAUAGCCUUUUGAUUUAGCAAGUUAACAAAGUAAGCUCUCAAGCUCCACUGUUUAACACCAGCUGGAUGACCCUGGGCCUGCUGCUGCCUGGAGCCCUCUGGUACAGUCUUUGCAUUGAAAGAAGAGAAAGCUGUGGAAUUUUCAGGCUCUCCUCGAGAGCUCCUUUUGGGGCAGCCCUGCCAGCCCAGCAUGCUUAGACCCCUCCGAUGUCAUAUGUCGCCCCCGCCCCCAUCAGUCCAGCCGCAGAAGAGAUCUGUCUAGAAGUUAAUAUCCCAGGAACCUAAAGGUUGGGUGUCUUUGAGGAAGAGUGUCAGAUGAGAAUGUGAGGGUUCCCGGAUGGGGCUCUUUAUUGAUUUCCUGGAACUAUUGUGUAACAAAUUAUCACAAACUGGAUAAUUUAAACAAUAAACACAUUCUACCACAGUUCUAAAAGCCAGAAGUUUGAACUCAAGGUGUUGGUAGGGCCAUGCUCCCUCAGAAGGCCCUAGAGAAGGACCUUUGCAUGUCUCUUACUGGCUUCUGGUGGUUGCCAGUGAUCCUUACUGUCCCUUAGCUCGUAGACACAUCACUCUGUCUCUGCCUCUGUGGCCACACAGCCUUCUCCCUGUGUACGUCUUAUAAGGACACAAGCUGUAUUGGAUUUGGGGUCCACACAACUCCAGGAUGCUCUCAUCUUAACUAGUUACAGCUGGAAAGGCCCUGUUUGAAAGCAACAUAAGAGUCUGAGGUUCUGGGUGGACCUGAAUGUCCAGGCCCUUUAAAAGCAAGUGAAAAGAGGUAGGCCAUGUGGUAGCUGAUUCACACAGCUAGAGAGAGGUGGUUUCAGACAACACUUUCUGGUACAACUUUGUGCAGUGAUGGGAAGGCCCUGUAGCUGCACUGCUGAAAAUGUGGCUAAUGCGACAGAGGAACUGAAUUUAGCAUUGUGAUUGAUUUAAAUUAAGUUAAACAGUCAAGUCAUGUGACCAGGGGCUACUGUUGCAGAGAGCAAAGCCCUCAACCAGUGAAGGUGAACCUUUUAGAAACUGAGUGCCCAAACUGCAACAUAGAACCUACUUAUUUAUCGCAAAGUGCCAACACUGCCAUUAAACCCGAAUACUGAGGCUUUAGUUUAGAAAAGACAACUCAUAUAAUAAUAUCUUUUGUCUUGAAAGAAAAACAAAUAACACACGUGUCAUAGGUUCACCACCGCUGCCCUAAACCCUCCUGAGUGUGGAAUAGGAGAAGGAGACGUGAAGGCUGUCAAAGUCUGGGCAGGGCCAUUUGCAUCCAGGAUGGCCAUCAGCUGUUUAGGAUGCUGAUCAAGGUCUGCAGGGGUCUCUUUCCGUCUCCGGCUAGAGGAAGGACAUCACAUGGGAUCUCAGCACACAGGACAAUGGUCUCGGGAGUUCUUAAACCAGCAGCACCUCUUCCAAAGGAAGUCAUUUGUACUUUUGACAUGUAGGACCAUUAGUUGGAAGAGAGGCUGAUUUGGAUGGAGGUCAGAGACCUUCAUAGGGUUCCACCUUGCCUUCUCUUGAACCCUGAACCACAAAGUGAGGAAAUUAUGGUUGAGCCUACCAACCAUGUGAGAGAACAAGAAAUGGAGGUUCAGAGAAGUAGAGAAACUUAACAAGGUCACAGAGCAAGUGGUUUGAUGAAUAUCGUUAUCUUUGGAUUUCUGAGGAUCCAUUCCUGGGUCCUUCUAAAGUCCUUGAUGCCCUUUUUGAAAGAAGAUACUCAGUCUACUAGUCAGCUACUAUGAAAAAACUACUCUAAGGUCAGAUGCAACUUCUGGCUUAAUCACAACAGAAUUAAUGUUUGUUCGGUUGCUGGUUUUGUUUUGUGAACUGGCUGAGAUCUGUAGGUGAGUAUUAUGCAUGGGUACCCUUUCCAGGUGCCACUCAUCAAAUGCACACUAUAUGCCAUUACAGGCUGAGUAGAGUCCUUCAUUUCAUUGUAUCAUUGAAUCUCCAUAGGUUGGUGAUGUUGGUAUUACUGAUCCCAUUUGGGGAAAACUGAGGCUCAUGGGAGUGGGAGGCAGGGUUCCCAACCCAUGCCUUUUGCUCAGGGAGUUGCUGUCUCCUUAGAAGGAUGGUAAAGAAAUAUAAAAUAUCUGUCAUGAAUUAGGAAGAAUGUCCUAAAAUCUCAAGGUGCCAUUUAAAGGCAAAGACCAGUGUGGCUCGUGAGGGAAGGAGAGGCCAGACCAGGAGGUGACCACAAGCAGGUACAAGGCAGCCAGGCAUCCCAACGCAAUGCUGUGGUAAGAAAGCAAGGAGUAGAACAGCGUUGUGGAAAGUGAAAACCGCCUAGGAUGUGUGGGAGGCUGGAGGCAGAUGGGUGUGGAUGAGAAGGGCAAUAGGAGGGAUCCUUGUGUGAUGGAAAUGCUCUGUCUUUUCCCUGUAUCCAUGACUUGCCAUGAUAUUGUGGUAUAAGGUAGUUUUGCAAGACGUCGGCAUUGGGGGAAACUGGGUGAAGGGUACGUGAGAAUUCUAUGUGAAUCUAUACAAGUUUAAUUUUUAAAAUAUAUACAGAGUCUACUCCCAAAAAUGUAUAUACACUCCAAGAAAAGAAAUAUAGGAUGAUGUUUUUCCAACCCUCGUAUGGGGAAUCCUAGAGGAUGUCGUAUAUCGCAGAAAACCCACUCCACUGCUAGCCCUUAGAGAAGAAAUUAAAAGUACACGUGCAGCAAUUUCAAUGACCAAGGUUACACAAGCAGUAGUUGGCUGUACUAACAAAGUUCUGGAAGCCAGUGACCACACUUUGGCCACCUCUUGUAACUGUAGAGGCUGAAGGUAACUUACAUUAAACUCAUGAUGUCUCAAUAAAUUUAGUAUUAAAAUAUUUAUACAAGCUUUUCUUUUCUUGAAGUGCAUAUACUUUUUUGGUGAACUCUGUAUAUAUAUGGGAGAGAGAGUGGAGUUCACAGACCCCCAGCCCUUCACCCCUUGCAUGCACUCCAGGAGAAGCUUGCAUGGUGUCUUUUUGCAGCAAGGUAUCUUCAGGUGUCUGUCCUGGAUGCCUUUGGGCAGGACCAAGAGGAAUACAUGCCUGAGAGCUAGGCAGAUGGCACUCGGAGAGACAGAUGGCCAGAAUCCCCAGAGGUGGGAGCACUCACUGAGCACCUACUAGGUGCCAGGUGCUGUUCCAGGGCUAGAGACUGAGGUUAGGAAAGCUGGUGCAGCUUCCCACAGGUUUGCAUUGUACAGUUGAAGACAGAUGUAAACCAGGAACAGGGCAAUGCCAGGUGGUGACAGGUGCUGUGAAGAAGAUGAAAGAGCAGAGUGUGACAGAGUAGCUGGGGGCUGCUUUUGCUGGAGCAGUCAGGGAAGGCUUCUUUGAGGAAAACCUAAGUGAGAAGGAGGCAGCCAUGGGGACAUGUGAGGGAGAGUAUUCUAUGCAGGAGGAAGAGCAGGUGCAGGAUCUCUGAGACAGGAAUAAGCUUGUGCACGAGGGGCAAGAUGAAGACCAUAGGAAGGGAAGCACUGGCAUUGGGAGCUGGAGGGCGAUGAAGCUAAAAAGACAGGCAAAGGCCAGAUCCUAUAGGCAGGUGCUUGCAGAUGUUGGUAAGGAGUUGGUAUUGGGAGUCUCUGGCAGGUCUGAAGUAGGUACAUGGCCAGCUAUGUGUGGAUGGGUUUUAGAAGGGCAGGAGUGGAAAAUAGUAGACCACAUUGUACUACUGCAAUGGUCCAUGCAAGAGGGCAGUGUCAUGAGUAGGGCUUUGGCAUUGGCAUGGGAAACCUGUUGGAUUGGGGUUGCUCUGAGAGGAGAGCUAUCAGAGAUUUGCUGGUGGUUUACACAUGGAUGCGAUGGCAAGAAAAAGAUCCAGGAUGAUUCCCAGGUCUGCUGUUUCAUUCUAUCCCAGCUAACUCCAAAGGACUGGUCAGAGAAUGUCCUUCAGAGAAUAGCACUAAAAAUAGAUGAGAAUUGGGCUGAGCCUCAAAAAGUGUGGGUUGAAGGGGUGACCCCCUCACCAGUUUCACCACUCUGGUCCUUAGGCUCUUUCUUGCUGCAGGGAGCAGACCUGCUCUGCUUUUCUUGUACAUGGAGCUGAUUGUAAGAUGGUGGUGAGGUGAGGGGGUUUGGCAGCCAUCCUGGCAGUGGUCCUGUGACACCCAGGAGAACGGGGGCACAGUCUUCCCCCACCUAAGCAGCUAUCAGCAGACAUCAUAUACUGUCCAUGUCUCCACUGUUCUGAGCCAGCUGUGGUUUGGAGCCCCCUGCAGACAUGCUGCCUCCUCCUUCACUCUCUGGGCUGCACACUCCAGAUGCCCUGCAGGGAGAGUCUCCUAGGAUUGGCUGGUCCAUCCAGGCCAUGUCUGCAGGGCAGAGGGCUCGGGCCAGGCCAUUGCCAAGGCAGCUGGAGUCCUUGAUGCAUCCCCCAAAAGCCAUUGCCUUUGACUUGUUCUGGGCCUAGUUGUGGCCCAAGCAUCAUGGAACAGAAAAUGUGCAUAGCAGCACAAGUGCCCGGGGCUGGGUGUGACCUCCAGAGGUGUGGCAGGCAUUGGCAUAGACGUCCUGGACACAAAAGCUGUGCAAUUCAGGAAGGCCAGUGUCCAGUGGAUGAGAAGGACCUAACAUGUCAGUAAGGUGGACAGCUUCUGUCGGCAAAAGUGGGAGGCACGCAGAAAAUAACCUUGGAUUUGUGUAAUAGUAUCUCUUGUGAUGUGGGAUUAAUUUUAUCUUUGGUGCUGCAUCUUUGGUGGCCCAGGGAACGCUGCAUUUCUCCACUCUCUUCCGUCCAUCAAAGUGGCUCCUCAAAGAGCACUUCUCACAUUCCUCACCCCAAGGAUAGAACAGAAUCACCUCAAGCACAGAACCAUGGCCCUAGGGGACAUGGCCUUCACCUGCUUCCUUUUUAUCUGCCUCGCCUAAUUCAUCUUUCCUUUCUUUUUCUCCCUUAAUCCCUCGAAGUUAGCCAGGGAGGGGCAGAAAGGAAUCUUGGUUUUUGUCUGACUCUAUAGGAGUACAGUUGCUAGAACUGAACUGUGUUUCCCCUAAAUUCCUAGGUUGAGCCCGAAUCCUACUGUAAGUGUAUGUGGACAGAGGCCUUGAGGGGGGAAAGGGUCCUGCAGAGCACUGGUAUUCUUAGGAGAAGAGACGCUAGAGGUUGCUUCCUCCCCUGCACACACAGAGGAAAGUUCAUCGGGGUCAGACAGAAGGCAGAUGUCUACAAGCCAGGAAGAAAGUCCUCACUAGACAGCUAAUCCUCAGAACCUUGAUCUGAGACUCCGCAGCCUCCAGAACUUUGUGAAAUUACACUCCUGUUGUUUCAGCCAGCCAGUCAUUGGUAUUUUGAUGUGAAAGAAUGAGCAAACCAAGACAAUGAUAUUUUCAAAUAAGUUGUUUUCUAUGUACCGAGAGUUUUUUGAUGUGUCAAAAUUUUUUUGGUGCUCACAUGCUAGGGAUCAGUUAUUCUGGUCCCCAAGCCAGAUAAAUUAGAUAGCAUCAUUGCUACUGCAGAACCCUAAUGGCUUCACAAGUAGUUUAUAAUAAAAUCGGAGACUGUAACAUGAUCAAUGUGACCCUAGCUUUGCCUGCUGCUCCAGCUUCCCUUCCUAACUCCUCAUCCCCCGUUACUGCUGUCCUUCCCCCAGCAUGUUCCCACCCCAGGGCCUUUGCAUUUGCCAUUCCUUCUGCCUGGAAUGCCUUUUUGUACCAUUUCAUUUCAAAUAGCAGUCCCUAGCACUUUCUAUUCUCUUACCUUUAUUUUUUAUUUUUCAUAACAUUAAUCACUACUCAUACUAUUUAUGCAUAAUACUAACAUGUUUAUUUGUUUAUGUCCUCCACUGGAAUACUUCCACACCUUGAAGCUUGAAGUCAGCAGAACCAAGGAGGCUCUGGAGCCACACCUAGCCCCUUCCCAAGCCAGGGAUCCUCUGCCCUUUCUGUGAAUGGUAGUUACACACCAGGAGGCAGAGUAAAGUACAAAGCUUUGAAGUCAGCUGGUUCUAGAUUCAAGUUUCACCUCUCUUAUUCACUCUUUUGUGCUUUGGGCUAAAUUCCUUGGCCUCUCAAAGUGCUCUUUCCUUGCCAUGAAGAUAGAAACAAUGCCAUCCUAUCCCUUGAGUUUUUUCCUUCUGUAACCCUCUGGGCCUCAUGUAUAGUUGGUGAGUGGACUAAAGACCUCAAAAAGCCACCUUCUCAUAUAGCUUUGCAGAAUGUAGAAAGCUUGAAUCAAUGACCUCUAUGUAUACUAGCAAUGCCAGAGCUAUAAAUCAGCAACAGGAACAAAAUAUUGCUGUCAGGGGGGCCAUCUGGAGAUCUCAGAGGGCCCCACUUUGAGAAUUACUGCUGGAGCAUUUACUCCUAUUGAUUUGUUGAACCCAUACAUUUUGGCCAUUGGCUUUGGGAGUUCUGAGAGUGGGAAGCCCUUCACUUUGUUUGUCAUUAAAGAAUACCUGAUGGGGUUCUUUUUGCUAGAUUGUUGUUUCUGUGUCUUCCACCCCCAAAGUGGAGCGCCUUUACUUACAUUUGUUGAAUCUGUGCCUAAACCAGAGCUCAGAGUUCAAGGCUGUCAUUUGCUCUAAGAAAAGGUUUGUUUCCCAGAGUUUAAGUGACAGGCACAGCAGCAAAGCCUGAGUCCAUUUGUAGAACUCAGCCAGGCCUUAAGCUGGAGGGAUAAUAGAGGUGGAGGGUAAAACAGCAGUGGUUUUGGAACCAGACAGGCUAGGUAGGAUCAUCUCUGCAUUGUUUCUCAGGAUGUUAAGUCUCACAGAAGAGAGAUACCUUAACCAUGGUCUCAUUGCUAGUGUUUACCAGAGCUGACCCAGAGGCUGCUCUCUGGAAGUCCUUUUUUGUACAUUUGCAACACAAGCUGAUCCAUCCAUAUCACAAGCAUCCAUAUCACCUGGAAACAGAAAUGCAGCUCACAGGGCUGGUCUUGGUUACUUUCCCAUUGCUAAGACAAAAUACCCAACACCCUCAAGUUACAGUAGGAAAGGUUUCUUUUAGCUCACAGUUUGUAGAGGUUUCAGUCCAUAGUCAGCUGGCUCCAAAGCAGGGUAGCAUGGCGGGGUGGCAUGGCAUGGCUGAGGAGAAAGAGUUCAUAACCUAGCAGGCAGGAAGCAGCAUGCCCUAUUUUGUUCCCUUUUUAUUCCAUCCAAGGUGCAAGCCUAUUGCUUUGUGCCACCCACACCUAGGGUUGGUCAUCCCUCUUCAGUAAGCCCAUUAUCCACACCCAGAACUAUGCUAAACCAAUCAGUAGACUAAACCAGUAUCACACACCUAUGAUCCCAGGCAUCUCCCAAAAGCCCCACCUAUGAGUGCAUGAGGCUUUGGGAGACAUCUGAAUCAGUGGUGGUGAACCCAUGGCACACGUGCUUCAGCAGGCUGUUUGUAGCAUGGAAAGCUCUAAAAGGUUCACCACCACUGAUCUAAAUGUAAGUCCUAAGAGACCUGAUCCCAGAUCAUCUGAUUCAGAAUCUGAAUUUUAAAAAGAUGGCUUGGGUGAUUCUAAUGCACAUUAAAAUUGGAGGAGUACAUCCAUGCACACCCCCUCUGGUGGAGAGUAAAAUGGUGACUUGUCCCUAAGCAAGAAUUCCCAUCUCUAUUGGGUGUUGGCACAGUGUUGGGCUAAACAGCAAAGCUCAAGGCCUCCACUGUCCAAGUUCAAACCCUGGUGCCCUGCGUAUCAGCUAUAUGAUGUUGCACAGGUUAGGUCAUUUUUCUGUGUGUCAGUGUCCUUAACUCUGGGUGGAUCAUAAGAGAACGACCUCCCAACCUGACUAUUGCCUGGGUUAAAUGAAAUAGCCAAUGUCCCCUGAACCUUGCUGUAAGACAGGCGAUACUCUUAAAUUUUCCAUGAGCUUAGACUCACACCCUGUGUUCCAGUGUCAGAUCAGUGUUGCUUUUUCCUUACCUCAUGGGACUCUAGAAAGAAGUAUGACACCUUUUACAGUACUAAUGCAAAGAGGUUAGCUCAUAAUGCUCUAAAGCCUCAGCAAUCCCCAUGUUGAGCAUUCCCUUAACUGCAGGGUUUCCUACGAGAGAGUCUCAGGCUUUGGUUUAAUCUUAAAGUUGGCAUCUGGAGGCUCAUCCCAGCAGAUAUUGCAGAAUGUUCUGGGAAGAUCCUUUUCAGCUAAACAACUGAUUCUCGUGUAGUUUAUAGACAGCAAUUCCAAGCUAAGAGACCAUAUAAAAUGAUAGGAUUCGGGAGCUGUCAAACUUCCUGGUAAUCACUACAUUCAAACACCUCAUUCUGCAGAUAAGAAAACAGCUUCAGAGAGGUCAAAUGGCUUGCUUAAGGUCACCCAGUUGGUUAAUGGCAGGAACAGAGGUAAAAGGAAGGGCUCAUUCUCAACCCAGUGCUUCCCUCUAUAAAUGUGCAGGUGUCCUCUCACUCUUUCAUUCAACAAAUAUUUCUUAAAAGUUUACAUUGUGCUGGGUGCUAUUUAGAAGCUGGGGAAAUAGUGAUGAGGACUAUAGGAAGGUAUCUGUCCUUUGAAGCUUCCAUGCUGAGAAAGGAGGAAAAAGUGAGCAUGAAAGGGAACAAAGAACCAAAUGAUUUUGGAUGCUAUUGACUGCAAAGAAGGACACAGAAUGCAGGGGAAGGUGCUAGGAAUUGACUUGGGCUGGGAAUCUGGCUGGGACAGUAUCCUCUGAGAUGGCAGAUUAGAGACAAGCCAUGAAUGAAGGAUAGGAGUGAGUCAAGCAAGUGUGGUGGUAAGAAGCUUCCAACAAGAGUCAGCUCACUGCUCCCUCCCGGCUCUUCUUCCAGCCAACCAUCCCAGGUUAGCUUCCUCUGACACAGAUGCAGAGACACUGAUCCAUCUGCAUGCAGAGGAUUUCUGGAGCAUGGAGGAAGUGGGGAUGAGCAGAGGCAGGUGGGCUGUGAUGCAAUUGCAAUGAGGCCUGAGUCUGUUCUAUGGAGGUUUUGAGGUGAAAUGGCUCUUCAGAGUGGUCCUACUUUGAGGCCAAGGGGCCAGGUCUUUGUCCUCAUGGCACUGAUCAGUUGCUGGAUACAGACUGAUCCUGGGAAAUGCGGUGGUCUUAUCUCAGGCAGCUCCCUUCCGGUGAAGGAACUUCCUGGGGGAGGGACUCGCAUGUGAGCUGUCAGUGGGCCAUACCCCACCACUGGGAGACAGAGGGAGGGGGCUCUGCUCUGUCACCACCUGCAUCCUCCACAGCCCUCACCUGGGUCCUCAAACUGUUCCUGGUAGGAUUCUCCCACUGCAGGAAAUGAGGACAUCUGUAUCUUGGCUUAUGUUUGCCUUGUCUGAGUAUUCAUUUAUUGAUCACAGAAUUGUUGAUGUUUGCUGUUUUCUGACUUCUGGGCUAGGUACUGUAGCGACAGAAAUGAAUUUGGUAAGUUUCCAUCCUGGAGCUUACAGGACUUGGAGGGGAAAAAUACAAGUAGAUAGAGACAGUUACACAGGUAUUUUUGAGCAGUGAAUUAUCUCAGAAUACUUCUGCUGGGAGGGAAGAUGUGGUCACUUCAACCUUCAAAUCCAUGGGAUCAAUGGGAGCUUUUUUACCUGAAUAUAUCCACUUUUAUAUACCAAACAGGGGUCAUGGAAUUUUAUAAACCCAUUUGAUUAGCCUGGGAAGGAAGGAAAGCAUGAAGGGAGAAAUAAAUGAACUUGUACACCAAUAACAAGACGAAUAGUGACUAAUAUUUAAUUUGCCUUACUGUGUGCCAGGCAUGGUUCUGAAAACUAAGUGUGAAUGAGCUCACAAAGGCCUCUCAGUAUUUCUACUAGAGAGACACUGUUGCAGAUGAGGAAACUAUAAUAGAAAUUUCAGAGUUCUUGGGUCUUUUUUUAAAAUUAGGAACAUAAAUGCAUGUUCUGCACUUUGAUUUGAUUCUAUAGGAAAAAUUGAAUUGCUGGAGUAUUUAAUAUAUGUGUUAAUGAUCUAGAUCUAUAGCCUCCAAUCAGUCUAUAUCCUCUGUCCUUUCUUUAGCAUUCACUGAAACUGCUGCUCUGGCUGGGAUGGAGUGGGGAGGAGAGGGAGCCUGAACCAGCCCAUUCUCCAGUUUCCCCGCCCACCCGCUCCCCAGCAGGGUCUUGGACAUCAUAACUGGAACUUUGGUGGCACCCAAAAAUAAUGUAAAACCCAACUAAUCUAGAAUCCAGCACUGAUUUGGAGGUGAUAGGAAAUUGGUGAAACUGGCAAAUAGUGGCAGGGAAGAGGUGCCACCAUGCCAGCCAACAGGGUGAAGAAGGAAAUGAAGAUUCAGAAAAAACAUCACAUGGGUUCAGGUUUCAGCUGGUGCCAGUGAGGAUAUUCAGUGAAACGCUCUUGGUGACCACUGGAAAAGGUGAAUUUCAUGUAGAUUUGUAAUAGAACAAGAAUGCACCUCUUCAUCUGCUGAGGCUCAUGCUUCUUACCUGUUUCAGUCAGAAUUCCCUGAUCUUUACUGCCAGCAGCCCCCCCCCCCCAGCUUUAAGACAGCCUGGCUACCACCUUGCCUGGGGGUUUCUCCCACCGAAGAAUAGUAGAGGUAGGAAAGCGCUUUGGGUAGAGAAAACAGCUGGGACUUUGGAAUCUCGCAGACAGCUGUGGCUUCUGUGUGACUUGGGAAGAAGCCAUGCUUCUUUGCGCUUCUCUAUCUUCAUCUGUAAACCAGAGGCAAUAAGAUGAUAAGUCCUCCACUAAAGAAUGAGGGGAUUAAAGUAACCAGAUUGGUGCCAAGUUCGUGGCAGUGUGUGGUCACUAUUCAUGCAGACUACAACUGCCUGAGCAGAUUUGAAGUCAGUAACUUUUUCCCUGGUUUUAUUAAAGUAAUACAUUUAUAUAAUAUUUGAAAAACAUAUGCACCCAUUAUCUUGCUACCUAACAACAGCCACUGUUAAUGUUUUGAUGUAUUUACUUUUAUGCUUUUUUCUGAUAAAUGAUUUUUACUGUAUUUAUAGUUCUAGAUUCUCUUGACUCAUCAUGAACAUUUUUCCAUGUCAGCUAUAAGUUUUGGGAGAAAAAAACAUGAUUACUAGUGGCCAUAUGAUAUUAUAUUAUUUGGGUUUAUCAUUAUUAACUUAGCCAUUUUCCCAACUGGUCAUUCAAGAUGUUCCUUAUUUUUUGCUCUUACCAAUGAUCACUAAUAAUAAACAAAAUAUUCUUUAAGCCCAUCUCUGAUUAUUUCACUUGAAUAAAUUCCUAGGUGUAUAUUACUGGGUCAGAGGGAAUAUAAGGCCAAACCAAAAGGUUGUAUCAGUUUACAUUCUUGAACUGGGCUUUGAAAGAGGAGCAAUUUCUGAGGCUACAUUUCCUGUUCUGUAAAAUGUAGAUAAUAGUAUGACCUUGACAGUUUCCUCAGUACUGAAUGGUUUGUGUACAUGAGCCAUCAAGCUGGUCCAGUGCCUGGUGCCCUUCCCCCUUUAUCUUCCUGACAGCCCAGCCUAACUGUCUCAUGGAAUGAACCACAAUGUGAUCACACAUCCCAUAAAGGGGCAGGGCAUUUGCCCCUGCAGGCACACUUGAAACCCUGAGUAAGUGUGGCUGCCAGUCUAAGACCAAAUACUCUAAUUAGAACUCCCCAUUUCUCUGAG